UGCGUAGGUGGCAAGCGUUGUCCGGAUUUAUUGGGUUUAAAGGGUGCGUAGGCGGUCCUAUAAGUCAGUGCUGAAAUAUCCCGGCUUAACCGGGAGGGUGGCAUUGAUACUGUAGGACUUGAGUAAAGUUGAGGUUGGCGGAAUUGACGGUGUAGCGGUGAAAUGCUUAGAUAUCGUCAAGAACACCUAUUGCGAAGGCAGCUAACUAAGCUUUAACUGACGCUGAGGCACGAAAGUGUGGGGAUCAAACAGG
rnacentral:rRNA from 1 species